rnacentral:rRNA from 1 species
CAAGGAAUUUUCCGCAAUGGGCGCAAGCCUGACGGAGCAACGCCGCGUGGGGGAUGACGCUUUUCGGAGUGUAAACCCCUUUUCUCAGGGAAGAAGAAAGUGACGGCACCUGAGGAAGAAGGACCGGCUAACUACGUGCCAGCAGCCGCGGUAAUACGUAGGGUCCGAGCGUUGUCCGGAGUUACUGGGCGUAAAGCGCGCGCAGGUGGCUCGAUAAGACUGGCGUGAAAGCCCCCGGCUCAACCGGGGAGGGUCGUUGGUGACGGUCGAGCUUGAGGGCAGCAGGGGCAGGUGGAAUGCCCGGUGUAGUGGUAAAAUGCGUAGAGAUCAGGAGGAACACCCGUGGCGAAGGCGGCCUGCUGGGCUGACCCUGACACUGAGGCGCGAAGGCGUGGGGAGCGAACG